AGGUAGUUCCAUCUUUCUUCUUGGAAUGCUGAAACUCUAUUUGACCCUGGAGGAAACCUGAAUGAAAAACAAUCAGCUGACACGGGUCUGGAUCUAAGGAAGCUGGGACUAAUGACAUGAUUUCACCACCAAUGUGACAUUAAAGACAAAUAGCAGAUGGAGUGGGAAGAAGGAAGAGGGAGAAAGAGACAGAGAAACAUCAAUGUGAGAGAGUCACAUCAAUUGGUUGCAUUCUGCAUGCACACCAACUGGGGCCAAGGUGAACCUCCAACCCAGGGAGGAUCAUGGUGAAGGAAGAAAUUCAGAGAGAGGAGCCAAGAACCACAGAAAGAAGAAUCAGA